GAUGAACGCUGGCGGCGUGCUUAACACAUGCCAGUCGAACGAGAAGUGGAGACGGAAACCUUCGGGCGGAAGACUUUAUUUCGAGUGGCGGACGGGUGAGUAACGCGUGGGUAACCUGCCUCAUACAGGGGGAUAACAGUUGGAAACGACUGUUAAUACCGCAUAAGACCACAGCACCGCAUGGUGCGGGGGUAAAAACUCCGGUGGUAUGAGAUGGACCCGCGUUCGAUUAGCCAGUUGGCGGGGUAACGGCCCACCAAAGCGACGAUCGAUAGCCGAUCUGAGAGGAUGACCGGCCACAUUGGGACUGAGACACGGCCCAAACUCCUACGGGAGGCAGCAGUGGGGAAUAUUGCACAAUGGGGGAAACCCUGAUGCAGCGACGCCGCGUGAGUGAAGAUGUAUUUCGGUAUGUAAAGCUCUAUCAGCAGGGAAGAAAAUGACGGUACCUGAGUAAGAAGCCCCGGCUAACUACGUG
rnacentral:rRNA from 1 species